rnacentral:rRNA from 1 species
UAAUACGUAGGGGGCAAGCGUUAUCCGGAUUCAUUGGGCGUAAAGCGCGCGUAGGCGGCUUGCUAAGUCAGAUGUGAAAACCGGGGGCUCAACCCGCGGCCUGCAUCUGAAACUGGCAGGCUUGAGUCUGGUAGAGGAAAGUGGAAUUCCUGGUGUAGCGGUGAUAUGCGCAGAUAUCAGGAGGAACACCAGUGGCGAAGGCGGCUUUCUGGGCCACGACUGACGCUGAGGCGCGAAAGCUAGGGGAGCAAACAGGAUUAGAUACCCUGGUAGUCCUAGCUGUAAACGAUGGGCACUAGGUGUGGGGGGUCAUCGACUCCCUCCGUGCCGCAGCUAACGCAUUAAGUGCCCCGCCUGGGGAGUACGGCCGCAAGGCUA